GGAUGUGAGGGCGAUCUGGCUGCGACAUCUGUCACCCCAUUGAUCGCCAGGGUUGAUUCGGCUGAUCUGGCUGGCUAGGCGGGUGUCCCCUUCUUCCCUCACCGCUCCAUGUACGUCCCUCCGGAAGCUGUGCGCUCCAAGAGGACAACCUUCCCGGAUAGAGGAGAGCAACAUUCUUCGGUCAAGGGUAUAGAGUAGCUGCGCUCCCCUGCCAGAACCUCUAAACAAGCUCUCAAGGUCCAUCUGUAGGAGAACGUAGGGUAGUCAAGCUUCCAAGACUCCAGACACAUCCAAAUGAGGCGCUGCACGUGGCACUCUGCCUUUAAAA
rfam:Mustela putorius furo unplaced genomic scaffold scaffold00044, whole genome shotgun sequence.